UGUAGUUAUAUGCUCCCUAUCAGAGCUGGCGCUACCCGCUCAGCACAGUCCGCAAAGCAGAGAGGCGCCAUGCUUUAGAGAAGCUCUCACUGACCUGCUACUAUUUUGUAUUGUGACAUGUUGCUUUUGGCUGCCGCAGACUGCGCCUGUGCCUCCGUGUGACAGGCAGCUGCGCCGGCAGCAUGAAGAGCUGCUACCCCCUCCCUGCCUCCUUACUGAAUGUGCCCUCCACUUUCCUGCAUAUUGCUGCCAGCGCUGCUGCCUGUCAUCGUGUAUGACAGGUAGCUAUGCUGGCAGCAUAAACAGGCCAUCUCUGCCUGUGACAGGUGCAGGACCCCCAGCGGCCACCCCCUCACUUCCCUUACUGCAUUACUCCUCCCUGCUUCCCUGUCAAUCUGGUUGACAGACAGGCAGCAGCACCCCCCUCCUCUCUCAAGACACUGCUGUCUUGAGCACUGCCCCCCCUUUCUCACCCCCCAUUUCUCCCCUCCACUCUUCUACUUCUCUCCCUUCACAGGAGUGGAGAGUAAUGGCGUCCAGCAGAAAGAGGAGGGCCAUCAAGAAAAGGACUGAAAAAGACAGAAGAAGCUCACUGCUGCAGAAAAAAGGUAUUGUGGCACGGUGAGGACCUUCUCUGGCUGUCCUAUUGGGGUCAAGUGAGAUGACAUGUUAACCAUAGUAAAUUACCACAGGACAUCAUAGCUGGUGGGAAGAUGGUCCACUUCUAUUUAUCCCUUUCACAAGGGAAUUUGUAGCUAAAUGUUUUCUUCUGGCAUUGAGCUACUGUAUGAAACAAGAAAGACUUAUCACCAGCAACUGACAGCCUGAAAGAACUGAGCACACAGUUUCAAUAUCAUGAAAUGCAGGAAUAUACUUUUUUGAGAGUCCCACACCUAGCAAUAAUGGUUAUUUGUCAAGCCACAGCUAGUAUACAACUGCAGUGACUAAAGCUGCAAUCGCAAAAUAUUGGAAAACAAAAUUUCCUGUACUAUCUGAAAUGGAAUACAUACCUAUUACCAGCGGGAUGAGCACUAGACACCCACGGAGGGAAAAAAGCCUGUGGCGCCGGUAUUCCAGCAGCGCCAUUUCACCACCUGUCAGGAUUCUGGCGUCGGCAUUAUGACCGCUGGGAUCCCUGCAGGCGAUCUCGUGAUUUUCUCCCUCUGAAACUGCUCUACCUCCAAAUAUUCCACUUCAUGCAGUUUGUUAGUACAGUUCAUAAAUAGAUGUUUGUACUUGAUAAAA